ensembl:lncRNA
GGUCGUUUUUGGAGGAUAAUUAUCGUGUAUCUGGCAACAUUGAGAUCGGUCGACCAAUGACUGUUCUCUCUACAGUCAGAGCUCGCGAAAGAAGGUGGAACGUAAGCGAGACACCAUUUCCAAAACUGGUAAGGGCGUAAUAACUAGUUUGUGAAAGACCCAGAGAAACACAAAUAUACGAAGACGAAGCAAAAUCCCGGACGUUUUUGGAAUCUCUGCCGGACGCAUUUUUUAGGUCUCGAAAAGAGGACAUGUUCGGGGAAAAGAGGACGUUUGGUCACCCUAAUUAAACAGUCUGAUAACUCUGUCCUCGCAGCAGCUAACGAUAGCUCACCGCUUGUGUAGCUACAGCAGCUAGCUAGCCAUCUACCUUCUAUUCGUAUGUAUUUUUCUACACAAUAGAAAAGCGAUGUGCUCUCGUGCCUCCUGCAGCUCUUCUGUGUUGCACGUCAAUACUUUGAGACAAACAAGGAGCGUCAAUCUAACGUAAAUGCUUUUCAAUAAAUGUCUUUAGUUCCUGCACAAUGAACAUGAAUCUCAAAUUAAAUUAUUAAUAUUCCCCAAAUUCCAAUUAACUACACUUCCGCUGUUACAGAGGGGAAACACUGUAAUCAUACUGUAAACUUUCAAAAGUUCAUAUGUUGUGCAUAGUUUGAAGUGAAAAAAAACUUUUCUUCAAUUGUGUUUGGGUUCAGGCUCUGUUUAGGAUCGGUAUCGGAAAAACCCAAACGAUACUCAUCCCUACUCUCAUGUGACAUGUCUGCGCGCUCAACGUGAAGCAUAAAGCAUAAAGCCAGCCGCUGGUUAGCUUAGCAUGAAGGCUGGAGACAAGAGGGCUUAAAAGGGAUGUUUAAAAAUCCGGAUUCAACAGUUUACAAAUUUCCGACUUGAUGAAACAAUGGACAAAAAUCGUUCUUUAUUUAUUCUUAAAGUGUUUGCUAUCAAGAUCAAGAUGGGGUCAUAGAAAAAAACAAGUAGAGCAAAGUGUUUUAUGCACCAUGUCAAGUGGAUGAGCUCUAUCAAUACAAAUACACCGUCCACACACACACAUUUACUCUAAAGGCUCAUUUGCAUAUUGUACCGUCACUGUAACCAUAGAGACGUUACAUCAUGAUGGAACAUUUCUCCAUGUUCCAUGUUCCAUGUUCCAUGUUCUAUGCUCCGUUCACCACAGCAUAAGAACACAGUUUGUUGCACAUCCAGUCAGUCAGUCAGUUUCAAACCUCGCAUCUACACACUGAAGUUUUCCGGACCUACACUUGCAGAAAGCAACCAUGUAAUGCCUCAGGAGUCUGUAGAGGGGACGAAGACGCAUUCUGCUGCACUUAACAGAGCUCAAGACCAACGGGACGCCAUCAGGACGGCAUCAGGACGCCACGUCAUCGGGACGGCAUCAGGACACCACGUCAUCGGGACGCCAUCAGGACGCCGCAUCAACCCCUCAGGAGCAAAUCCAGAUCUACUCAUGAAACCCACACACACCCACACACACGUACACACACACACACACACACAGAGAUAUGUACUCACAGACACACUAACAUUUGGUUCUAAACAAAGACACACACUAACAUUUAGAUGUACACAAAGACACAUUAAUAUUUAGAUAUAUACACAGACACACUAACAUUUAGAUGUACACACAGACACACUAAGAAUUAGAUGUACACACAGACACACUAAGAAUUAGAUGUACACACAGACACACUAUCAUUUGGUUCUAAACAAUGACACACACUAAUAUUUUAGAUGUACACACAGACACAAUAACAUUUAGGAUGUACACACAGAC